UACGUAGGUGACAAGCGUUGUCCGGAUUUACUGGGCGUAAAGAGCGCGCAGGCGGUCGUUCAAGUCGAGUGUGAAAGCCCCCGGCUCAACUGGGGAGGGUCAUUCGAUACUGAUCGACUGGAAGGCAGGAGAGGGAAGUGGAAUUCCCGGUGUAGCGGUGAAAUGCGUAGAUAUCUGGAGGAACACCGGUGGCGAAGGCGGCAUCCUGGACCGACACUGACACUGAGGAGCGAAAGCGUGGGAAGCAAACAGG
rnacentral:rRNA from 1 species